GCCUCCCUGCCUGCUGCACAGAGACACACACACAGACACACACAUACACACACAGACAGAGACUUAUAUUGUAAUAAAGAGAACCCCAGACACAGAACCAGAGAGAGAUAAAUACAAAAAAAAAAAGUAAAACCAACAAAAAAAUCAACAAAAAAAAUGUACCUGUUAAUAACUCCAAAGGAGCACCACCCACUCAACCAACCUCCACAAACUGACAGCUCAGCAACUUCUCCGACUGGCCACCCAUCGCUGGAUGUUCCUCCACUUUAUCCACCAUAUAAAACAACUUUUACCAGUAAAUAUCGGUUUAUUCCUGAAAUCAGAAGCCCUAAACAUACCUUUGUUUAUAAGCCUGUGUGGUUCUGAUUGCUGGCAGUUCUGUAGUACAGCAGCCUUAAUCUGAGCAAUUGAGACUGGUCCUACAUUAUCUUCAGACGGCUUGAGGAGGACUUCUGUUCCCAGUUUGGUACUCAAAUACUCCAUCCCACCUUGAGAAGUCACUUACUUUAAAAGCCAGUGAUAGAUUAUUCUCUUUAGCACUAAUGGAAAAUUAUACUGCAAAGCAGCUUUCGUAUAUUCAUAAUUCCCGUGCAAUCCCAAAUUGGAGAAAAGAGCCUAUUAAAGGUAUAUAUUACUCUAGAUAUUUCUUACUGUAAAUAUUGUAAUUUUAUAAUCCUGUGAAUAUUUUAUUAAUUUACAAAUAUUUAACAAAGUUUAAUCUGUGUGAGUUCAGAUUUAUUUAAUGGUGUUCCACUUCUGUGGUUCCUUCUGCAGUCAAUAUUGCACUAUAUUUUAUGUAAGAUUAACUUCAAUAAAAAAAAAGUUAACUGAUUUAAAUGCCUCUUUCUGGGAGAACAAAGUAUAGAGGCAAUUCUCUUCUUUAAAAUGUAACACUUAUGCUCUUCAGUCCCAGUGCUAAAGUAAUUUAAUGAAAUAUUAGUUACAAAUUUUCAAAGCUAACACAGCUAAACAACUGCACUUGGAACUUGUCAUUUUAAAACUUGAGUGUACUUGAAUGUAAAUGGCUUUUAUCAGCCAGUUUUCAGUAAACAAGAAUCUCUGCAAUAUCUAAUGUAUUGAAAAGCUAAACUCUUUAUAAUGAGUAAAGGAACGCUGUAUGAUCAGGGUUAAGUUUUUGUAAAAACAAGCAUUUGCAAAGGCCAAGUUCAAUAAAAAAAAUUUUUUUUUAAAUUCUAGUGAAAAUGUUUUUUGUUUUUUUUUGGCUGUAUGCAUUCCCCCUAGUGUUUGCAUCCCAAAUAUUGCAACUUUGUGGUAAUGUGUGUAUGGCCGAAAGCAACUAGAAAUUGACUAGUUGCAGAACAUGAAAUCUUUUUCAUUGUCCUAAUUAAAGGCUCAAGCCUGUGCCCUUUAAAGUCAGUGGCAGAGCUUUCACAGAAACAGGAUCAGGUCCUGAGUGAUCACUUUCCUCAUCUCCCUCAGCAGUGAUGGGGAAAAUAAAUUAGAUUUUCUAAAAUUCGUUGUUUUAUUAACCUAAGGUUCUCUAAAGACAUUUUCUUUUUUUAAAAUUAAUUUUUAACCUGAUUUUAACCCUUUAACAAUUCGAUUUUAAGAUGUUCAUGUUCUCUGCAGAAUUAUCAAAAGCAAAGUAUUUUUUCCUUUCAGAGGCCAGGGAGGAUUGAUCUCUAAUGUAUUCGCAACAUGACUCUCCUUCAAGGAUCCAAAAUAUCUCAGAGGUUUUUGUGGCAGGUGGUACUUUUGGGUUUACAAGUUAAUCUUUAUUAGAGAUGUGCCAAUAUAUGCUGCUUAUUGUAGUGUUGUUAUAUUUAGGCAUUUUAGCUAACUUACAAAUAUAUACUGUAACAGUAUACUUUGUACAGACUUAAUUUAAAAUUUAUUUAAAGAUUGAAAUAAAGUAGGCAAAAAAUAAAAAAUGUUUAUUUUUCAUUAGACUAAGCAGCUAUCAUUCUUUUGUUUUUAGUGUACUUGGACACCAAACAAUCUCAGAACGAUAAAAUAUUUUAGUUGAUAGGCCACAUUGCAGAAACUCUGUGGAUAUGUGUAUGUAUAUCUGUACUGUAUCUUGAUAACUGUUAACUCUAGAAUGCAAAUAAUGAAAUCAUACUCGUUUUACCAUUCAGAAGAGAAGUGUUUCACAGUUCGACUGUUUUCUCUGUUUUAUGACAAAAAGGCAUUUAUUUUCUGAAAGAUGUUUAUGAAGGGCCUGCCAUCUGGCUUCUCAAGUCAAUUUUUAAAAUUCCAGAGUGGGGGUGAUUACUUGUUUAGCCUUCACUGAUAGACCAAAGUCAGCUUUGACAUCAUAUUGGGGUGCUGCUCAAAUUUAUGUUUUAUGUCCUUUAAGUCAAAAAACAAAACAAGAAAAAAAUCAAGAUGUUAACUUCACUAUAGAACAAAUUCCUCACUGUACAGUAGAAUGGAUAUCUCUAAUCAAUCUGUUGUCAUUAAUAAUAGAUUCUUAUUUUUUUGAAUUACUUAUCUAUUUAAAAGAACAGCAAACAUUGUAUUUGCUAGUAAAUAUAAAAUGU
rnacentral:lncRNA from 1 species